rnacentral:lncRNA from 1 species
CUAGGAUUAUGGAGAAAACAAAAUGACCUAUGGCGAGUUCAUCUAUGAAACAGAAGAAAUCUAAAUUUUGCCUUGGCUUCACCCCAAACUACAAAAAGUACUGUUUUACAAGAGCUUAUUCUGAAAUAUCACUUCCUGAACGUAGAAGUAUGCUAUUUGCACAGAUACAUUCCAUAGACAUACACAAUGUCCAGCUGAGAAAAUAAAGGAUAGUCCAUCUGGAUGUUUCUUU